rnacentral:lncRNA from 1 species
AGUCUCGGAACCCGCAGCCGGGAGCGCAGGGCGGGCCACACAGGGCGCCAGCACCUCCCACGAGCUCCGCGGGCCUCGCAUCCGGAAGACGCCCCGGCUGACCGCGCGAAUGGCUCGCGCUGCCGCGGACACCCGCCUGCCAGGGACGGGGCCUCUCUCCUGGGCCGUUUCAUCUCACCGAGAGCGAGAUCCGCUUUCCUAGAGGCUGGGAGGACCAGGCCCGGGCACAGGACUGGCUUCGCACCACUGGCCCCGCAGUCGGGUCCCCGGGGACGCGCCACGGGUCACUGCUGCCUGCUAAAGCGACACAAGGCGCCUUCAUUCCUCAGGCCGAGGCGGCCGAACGCCUUGGCUCUGGCCGACAGUGAGCACCCACUGCGAGUCCGCACACACUGCAGCGCCCCCGGGCACGCCCCGCAGUCCGCCCAGCGUCCCCCGGGGCGGGGCACAGCCAGAGGACGGCCCGAGAGCCCUGCUGUCCCCGUCAGCGCCGCAGGAGGGCGCGACUUCCCCGCUGGGCCGAGGCCUUUGCCGGGCCCUCUACUGUACGCCGGUCCUAGGGCUGGGACCGCCGUCCUGGACCGACCUCAGCCCACUGUUCUGCGGAGGCCGCGUGUUGGGCGACAGCAGCCACCCAGCCCGGAAGCAGCCGUUCCGAGCGCAGGGGCGCCAAGAGCCCCGCGCCCCGCCUGUGCGCCGGCCCUGAGACUUGGAACGAUGGUGCAGGCAGGAGGGGUCACCGGUAGGGAUGCCACUGGAGGGACUGGGCCGUCCACACGGACCAGCUGACACACUAAGUGCUGGGUACACAGCAGGACAAUGGCAAGGGCUGCUCAGACUGCGUUUUUAAAAUCGCCUCACCACGAAAGACAGAAAGUAGGGAAGGGUACCUUGCUGUGGCCAAGGCCGCCCUCGCUGAGUCAGCUGGCAUUCCCACGACUCCACGAGUCCCCAAAGGGCUUGUCAGAGCCCAGCGGCACCCUCGCCCUGGAAGUGCCCUGCGUCCUCCUCAAGAGCCUUAUUUGGGACAGAGAUCAGAUCAACCGCGCCACCACCCUCCCACCCACCUUCCACAUGUGAUAGGGUCGCAGGAAUGGGGAGCCUCGCAGAGGCGCGGCGGCAGCUCUCGCCUGCCAGUGACAGCCCACCUCCCACUUUAAAACAGGACGUUCCGAGUCCUGGUUCCACAUGUUCAAAAGGCCGUGGCAUGGGGGAGUGGGCCUACACCUGAGCUUUGGCUGCGAAAACACUCAUUUCAAGGAUAGCUGCUAGGCGCUGCCUUCCCCCAUCCCCCUGCUGUUGGCCCCCAUCCAAGCAUCUCCAGCCUCUGCCAGGCCCUGCCCCCUUCCCCGCCCUCUAUGGCCCUGAAGUGGGAGCCGGCUCAGGGCUGCAGGCUGCCUGCUCAGCGCCGGCACUCGCAGGCCCAUCCCUGCUGUGAGCAAACAGACCAGUAGCAUCCCUGAGACAGAGAUGGACACCACUCCUGGGUAGGAGGGCAGGCUAUGGACAUCCGUUGCUGGAAAAGCUGGGAAGAGGGCUGGCAGUGGAGACGCUUCAGGUGCACCGUGUGGACAGACAAGGUUGCAAGUGAUGCUGGUCCUCAAGGUAUCAGGUGUGAGUCAUCCCAAAAGGACCCUGCCUAAGAGGGUGGCCUGUCAAGAGGAGCCUUCUGGGGGCACAGCAGGGCCAGGAGUUGAGACAUAGGAGGUUGCCCAGAAAGUGUGGGAUGCAGCUUAGGCAAAGUGCAGAGGGUGAGCCCCAUAUCUCCCAAAAGAAGACCACAGAUGCCCUAGCCUCUCUCCCCCACGCCCUGUCAGGGCCACCAUGAGGGAUGACCCUCUGUAGCCACAGGGUUGAAACUGCUGAAAAUCAAACACAAGUCCUCACCAUGUGACUGGCUGAAUUACAGCAAAAGCUGAACUCCCAGCCUCCCAGGAUGUCUACUAUUAAAGUGAGGGUAUUGAUUGGGAGAGGAUGACAACCUGUAAAUUGGGAUGGGGGUGUAUGGGAAUAUCCUGAUGAAACUGGGAGACAUUGAGCUCCUAAAUUCUGAUGAAUUCUCUUUGCCCACGGGAGUUGUCUUCCCAUCCACAGCAAAACUAGCCUCCCCAUCCCCAGGGGAAGCAGCCUUCACACCCUUCGUGGUGUUGGCCUUGGCCUGAGGAGAUUAACCCUGCAUUGCUGGAGGAAAUGAUAAAGACCUCCCCUGAGGCAGUUGUCAUGCAAGACAAUGCUGAGUUUCCUUAGGACCCACCUGUCUUUACUAGACCUAUAACUAGACUCAAGGCCCAGCAGGCCCCCAAAGGUGAGGACAUAGCAGGACCCAGGAGGAGGUGUGCCACAAUCCAAAAGAACUACUUGAGUUUUCUAAUUCAUACAGGCAGAAAUCCAGUAAAUGUGUGGAAAUGGAUCUUAAGGAUCCAUUAAACAUGCAGGAUAAUGGUGGAAAGACCAUAAAGUCGGAUCAGGCCAAAUGUAUUGAUGUGGGCCCACUAAGCAGAGAUUCUGCACUGAAUGCUGCAGCCCUGGGCGUGUAAAAAAGACCUAAUAGUUUAGUUGGUUAGGGGAAACAGAUUAAAAGGCGGCCUACAAUGAGCAAGUUGGAGGUGCCAGAUAUCCCUUGUUUUAAUGUAGAGGAAGGGAAUUGAAGAGAUUGGAAUUAGAGUAGAUUUGCCAUUUUAGACAUACUUACCCACACUAGUCCAGACACACCUUUCACCAAUAUUGUAAGAAAUGGGUUUGUGAGGGGAGCCCCAGCAUCCUUCAAGAGCUGUUUCAUUGCUUUUCUCUCUGGGCAGACCUUACAGUGGGAACCACAGUCACUCAAUUGGAAAAUUAAAUGCAAUGACAGCAACUGAUCUCAGGGUGGGAGGAGCCAAGAGGGGAACUCAACCACCUAAGACAAGGUGGGUGUGACUACCAUAAUGGACAGAAGAGACAAAGUAACAAUCAGAAUAGUCUGACUUGUGUGAAUAUGUGAUGUUGGAUAGUUGAUUAUGGCGUUCCUAGAAGUGAAAUAGAUAGGAAGCUUGUACUGAAGUCAACAUUAAAAGGUAGAGACAAAUCUCUAAAUAUAACAUUUUAUUUGGGAUAUAAGAAUUGCAAUUUGGGUCAUACACACAGACCAGGUGUUUUUCAGUAUGUCCAAAGAACAAAGAGCAGGUUGGGGAUUUUAUAGAAUAGAGGAAUGUUGCUCGUGGUCUUGAGAGAAAGUUUAUUUGUAUUAGUAAAGCUUUGGGACUAGCAAGCUGAUUGGUGAACGAUAGCAGUGGACACAAUGAGCCCUACAUUGGCGGCAAGAUAUUCCACAAGCUAUAGACAAAACUGGUCUCAGGUUACAAUAGACAGUUUUGGCUGCUGGACUUGCAGAAAAUUGCAUUUCUGAAGCGAUGUUAUAAAUCCUGAGUGUUUUUCCCUCCUUGGCCCUCAACUCAGAUUUAAUUGGGUGUGACAAGAAUCACACAUUUAUGAUCAACUUUCAUACCUAUUAAAUUCUUAAUCUGUAUAAGCAGAAAACUUCCAGGUCGAGUUAACAAAAAUCUUACUUGAAUCAUGAAAAUAGAACAUCAUGGUCCAUGCAGGGGAAGCACAGUCCCCUCCAGAAAGGAUCCUGUAUGCUAUCAAAAACCUCUACUGUUAAUCUUUCUCUCAGCCUUCCCUAGAGAGACCUUUGACCUUUUACCAGGGUCAUUGUGUACUAGGAAAAAGAAAAUAAUCAGACCUCUCAGGCACUCUGGGACACUGGCUCUGAACUGACAUUCAUUCCAGAAGACCAGAAGCAUCCCUGUGGCCCUCCAGGGGCUUACGGAGGUCAGGUGGUCAAGGGAGUUUUAGCUCAGGUCCAUCUCACAGUGGGCCCAUUGGGUCCCCAGGCUCAGUCUAUGCGGUUAUUUCCUAAGUUCCAGAAUGCAUAAUUGGAACAUACUGUCAUGUGUCACUCACCGAACGGUGGGGAUACAGUCUGAGAAGUGCAUCAUUAGGUAAUUUAGUCUUUGUACAAGCAUCAUAGAGCAUACUUACACAAAUCUAGAUGGUAUAGCCUCCUCCAUACUAGGCUAUAUAGGAUAGCCUAUUGCUCCUAGGCUAUAAACCUAUAUAGCAGGUUACUGUACUAAAUACUGUAGGCAACUGUAGCACAAUGGUAUUUGUGUAUCUAAACAUAGAAAAGGUACAGCAGGCCGGGCGCGGUGGCUCGUGCCUGUAAUCCCAGCACUUUGAGAGGCCGAGGCAGGUGGAUCACCUGAGAUCAGGAGUUCGAGACCAGUCUGGCCAAUAUGGUGAAAUCCUAUCUCUACUAAAAAUACAAAAAUUAUCUGGGCGUGGUGGGUGGUGGGUGCCCGUAGUCCCAGCUACUCAGAAGACUGAAGCAGGGGAAUCACUUGAACCCAGGAGGUAGAGUUUGCAGUGAGCCAAGAUUGCGCCACUGCACUCCAGCCUGGGCGACAGAGUGAGACCCCAUCUCAAAAAAAAAGGAAAGAAAAAAGAAAAGGUAGAGCAAAAGUAUGGUAUUAUAAUCUUAUGGGACCACCAUCAUAUAUGCUAUCCACCAUUGAGCGAAAUGUUAUGUGAUACGUGGCUGUACUUAGUAGCUAGCAGAGUACCAUGUUGGUUCCCUGAGGACUCUUCUGAUAGGCAAAUCCAAAUGAAAGCCACUGAAGCUGCCUUUGCCUAAGAAAACCAAAAGCAUUGCUGCAUUCUAGAGAGACUGCAGAGAUUCGGAGAUUAGCACCAGCAUCAAGGACUUAAAAGAUACAGGAGUGGUGAUUCCCACCACAUCCCCAUUCAACCCUCCUAUCUGGCCUGUGCUAAAGAGAGAUAGAUCUCAGACAAUGACAGUGGCUUCUUGUAAGCUUAACCAAGUGGUGACUCCUAUUGCAAUUGUUGUACCAGCUGUGGUUUCACUGCUUCAGCAAAUUAACACAGUAAGCAGCUAUUGAUCUGACAAAUGCCUUUUUCUCCAUGUCUUUCUGUAAGGUUCACCAGAAGCAGUUUGCUUUCAGCUGGCAAGGCCAGCACUACCCCUCCACUGUCCUACCUCAGAAGUAUGUCAACUCUACAACCCUAUGUUAUAAAUUAGAUUGCAGGGAUCUCAAUUUCUUUUCCCUCCUGCAAGAUAGCACACUGGUCUAUCAUGACACUGAUGACCUAGUGCUGACUGGACCAUAAGUGAGAAAUAGCAACUACUCUUAACUUACUGGUGAGAUAUUUGUGUGUCAGAGGCUGAGAGAGAACUCUAACUGAAAUUCAGGGAUCUUCUACCUCAGUGAAAUUUCUGGGGGUCCAGAAAAUGUUGAAAAUAUCCUUUUUCUCUUUUUUAAAACUAUCUGGAGAUAUGAAAUAUCCUUUCUAAGGUGAAGAAAGAAUACAUGAUUGCAUGUGGCCCCUCUUACAAACUAGAAAAAGACACAAUUACUAGCGGGCCUACUUGGAUUUUGGAGGCAACAUAUUCCUCAUUUGGGUGUGUUACUACAGCCCAUUUAUUGAGUGACCUGAAAAGCGGCUAGUUCUGAGUGGGGCCCAGAACAGGAGAAGGCGCUGCAACAGGUCCAAGCUGCUGUGCAGGCUGCUUUGCCACUUGAGCCAUGUGACCCAGCAGAUCUAGUGGUGCUCAAGGUGGCAGUGGCAGACAGGGAUGCUAUUUGGAGCCCCCAUAGGUGACCCAAAGUGCAAGCUCUUAGAAUUUUAAAGCAAAAUCCUGCCAUCCUCUGUGGAUCUUUUUGAGAGACAGCUCUUGGCCUGCUACCGGGCCUUAGCAGACACUAAACACUUAAUCAUGGGUAAACCAGUCACCAUGUGAGCUGAGAUGCCCGUUAUGAACUGGGUGUUAUGUGAUCCAACAAGCCAUACAGUUGAGCAGGCAUAGCAACACUCCAUUAUCAAGUGGAAGUGGUCUAUACAUGACUGGGCCUGAGCAGGCUCUGAAGACACAAGCAAGUUACAUGAAAAAGUGGCUGAAGUGCACAUGGUCCCCCUGCCUGCUGCACUGCCUUUUCUCUCUCAGUCUUCACCUAUGGCCUCAUGGACGUUCACAUGCAAAAUAAUGAAAUCAGGCCCUCUCCUUACACUAGAUACAAAAAUAACCCAAAAUGGAUUAAAUACCUAAAUGCAAAGUAUUUACUUUAAGGCUGGGUGCAGUGGCUCACGCCUGUAAUCACAGCACUUUGGGAGGCCAAGGUGGGCAGAUUACCUGAGGUCAGGAGUUCAAGACCAGCCUGGUCAAUAUGGUAAUACCCCAUCUCUACUAAAGAUACAAAAAUUAGCUGGGCAUGGUGGCACAAGCCUGUAGUUCCAGCUACUCAGGAAGCUGAGGCAGAAGAAUCACUUGAACCCGGGAGGCAGAGAUUGCAGUGAGCCAAGAUCGUGC